AAUAUACUCCCUCCGUCCCAUAUUAAGUGCCGAAAUAUUACAUGUAUCUGAACAUAUUUUAGUAUUUAGAUACGUCUAUUUUUAGACAAAUUUGAUUCACUCAAUAGGGGAUGGAGGGAGCAUGUG
rnacentral:pre_miRNA from 1 species